AUUGAACGCUGGCGGCAGGCCUAACACAUGCAAGUCGGACGGUAGCACAGAGAGCUUGCUCUCGGGUGACGAGUGGCGGACGGGUGAGUAAUGUCUGGGGAUCUGCCCGAUAGAGGGGGAUAACCACUGGAAACGGUGGCUAAUACCGCAUAACGUCGCAAGACCAAAGAGGGGGACCUUCGGGCCUCUCACUAUCGGAUGAACCCAGAUGGGAUUAGCUAGUAGGCGGGGUAAUGGCCCACCUAGGCGACGAUCCCUAGCUGGUCUGAGAGGAUGACCAGCCACACUGGAACUGAGACACGGUCCAGACUCCUACGGGAGGCAGCAGUGGGGAAUAUUGCACAAUGGGCGCAAGCCUGAUGCAGCCAUGCCGCGUGUAUGAAGAAGGCCUUCGGGUUGUAAAGUACUUUCAGCGGGGAGGAAGGCGAUGUGGUUAAUAACCGCGUCGAUUGACGUUACCCGCAGAAGAAGCACCGGCUAACUCCGUGCCAGCAGCCGCAGUAA
rnacentral:rRNA from 1 species